UACGGGGGGAGCAAGCGUUGUUCGGAAUCACUGGGCGUAAAGGGCGUGUAGGCGGUUGAGUAAGUGGAAUGUGAAAUCCCUCGGCUUACCCGAGGACCUGCAUCCCAUACUGCUCGACUUGAGUACGGGAGAGGAUGAGGGAAUUCCUGGUGUAGCGGUGAAAUGCGUAGAUAUCAGGAGGAACACCGGUGGCGAAGGCGCUCAUCUGGCCCGAUACUGACGCUGAGGCGCGAAAGCUAGGGUAGCGAACGGG
rnacentral:rRNA from 1 species